rnacentral:rRNA from 1 species
AACGAACGCUGGCGGCAUGCCUAACACAUGCAAGUCGAACGAGACCUUCGGGUCUAGUGGCGCACGGGUGCGUAACGCGUGGGAACCUGCCCUUAGGUUCGGAAUAACUCCCCGAAAGGGGUGCUAAUACCGGAUAAUGUCUUCGGACCAAAGAGUUAUCGCCUUUGGAUGGGCCCGCGUUGGAUUAGCUAGUUGGUAGGGUAAAAGCCUACCAAGGCGACGAUCCAUAGAUGGUCUGAGAGAAUGAUUAGCCACACUGGGACUGAGACACGGCCCAGACUCCUACGGGAAGCAGCAGUGGGGAAUAUUGGACAAUGGGCGAAAGCCUGAUCCAGCAAUGCCGCGUGAGUGAUGAAGGCCUUAGGGUUGUAAAGCUCUUUUACCCGGGAUGAUAAUGACAGUACCGGGAGAAUAAGCUCCGGCUAACUCCGUG